rnacentral:tRNA from 1 species
UUUUAAUUAGUAUAAUAAGUACAGUUACCUUCCAAGUAAGUAGUCUAAUGUUUGAUUAUUAC